rnacentral:lncRNA from 1 species
AGGAGUGGAUGAGUGGAUGGAUGGAUGAAUUACACCUUCAUUUAGCUCAUACUAUAGGCCAGACCCUGGAUGGGGCAUAAUUCAGAUACUAUCUCAUUAAACCUCACAAUAAACCUAUAAAGUAAAUAGAGGCUCAGAGAAUUUAAGUCACUUCCCCAAGGAGACCCAGCAUGUAAGUGACAGAGCUGGAAUCUGCCUCAAUUCAAGGCCUGUGUUUCUCCACCAGAGGAUGCUGCUACUCAAAAAUGCAAGGUCAGAACACAUUUUAAUGUUUCCUGUGAAAGACUCGGGAAGUGCUGCCUCCUUCCUGAGAAUGCUGCCCCACCAGAGUUGUAAACAUACAUGUGUGUACGUGCACACAGAGGCACACACCGUAUGGUGUGUGAUUUCAGAGCAAGUGUUUGGAACCAGACCUGGAUAUAAAUCCUGCUUUCACCAACUUUGGCUGCAUCAAUGCCUGCCCAGGGCCUAGUCUGCAAAGGCCCUCCAAAGGGAUUCUCCUUUCCAUCUUCUCCCCACUGUCUCACUAUGUGACCUUGUCCAGCUGAAAAGCAGAUGGAGGUGAGUCCAGGACCAUACAGCCCUUCCUUCACUCCAGGCAGAAUCCCUGGGCCCUGCCCAGCCUCAUCCAGCCACCUCCAGGGACUAGGAGCUCACCACCUCUUGGAACAAUAAUUAUAAUUCUUACUGUAA